CUAUCUGCAGUCGAGCGAACUGAUUAGAAGCUUGCUUCUAUGACGUUAGCGGCGGACGGGUGAGUAACACGUGGGCAACCUGCCUGUAAGACUGGGAUAACUUCGGGAAACCGAAGCUAAUACCGGAUAGGAUCUUCUCCUUCAUGGGAGAUGAUUGAAAGAUGGUUUCGGCUAUCACUUACAGAUGGCCCGCGGUGCAUUAGCUAGUUGGUGAGGUAACGGCUCACCAAGGCAACGAUGCAUAGCCGACCUGAGAGGGUGAUCGGCCACACUGGGACUGAGACACGGCCCAGACUCCUACGGGAGGCAGCAGUAGGGAAUCUUCCGCAAUGGACGAAAGUCUGACGGAGCAACGCCGCGUGAGUGAUGAAGGCUUUCGGGUCGUAAAACUCUGUUGUUAGGGAAGAACAAGUAUGAGAGUAACUGCUCGUACCUUGACGGUACCUAACCAGAAAGCCACGGCUAACUACGUGCCAGCAGCCGCGGUAAUACGUAGGUGGCAAGCGUUAUCCGGAAUUAUUGGGCGUAAAGCGCGCGCAGGCGGUUUCUUAAGUCUGAUGUGAAAGCCCACGGCUCAACCGUGGAGGGUCAUUGGAAAACUGGGGAACUUGAGUGCAGAAGAGAAAAGCGGAAUUCCACGUGUAGCGGUGAAAUGCGUAGAGAUGUGGAGGAACACCAGUGGCGAAGGCGGCUUUUUGGUCUGUAACUGACGCUGAAGCGCGAAAGCGUGGGGAGCAAACAGGAUUAGAUACCCUGGUAGUCCACCCCGUAAAACGAUGAAUGCUAAGUGUUAGAAGGUUUCCCCCCUUUAGUGCUGCAGCUAACGCAUUAAGCACUCCCCCUUGGGGAGU
rnacentral:rRNA from 1 species